rnacentral:rRNA from 1 species
UACGUAGGAUGCAAGCGUUGUCCGGAAUUAUUGGGCGUAAAGAGUUCGUAGGCGGUUGCCUAAGUCUGGUGUUAAAUACAGGAGCUCAACUCCUGCAUGGCACUGGAAACUGGGCAGCUAGAGUGUGGUAGAGGUCACGGGAAUUCCAGGUGUAGCGGUGAAAUGCGUAGAUAUCUGGAGGAACACCAGUGGCGAAAGCGCGUGACUGGGCCACAACUGACGCUGAGGAACGAAAGCUAGGGGAGCGAAGGGG